AGAUUCUGCAUUAUGUCUUUUUAUACCUCAAAUAAACAUAUUAUUAUAGAAAAUUUAAAACAUUAAAAAGUAGAUGUAACACUAUAUUCAUCAAGUUUCAAGUUAUCAACUCCUAAUUUUGUUUCAUUUAUAUUCCCCAUCUCUCUUUCAAUAAUUUUGAAGUAAGCCUUCAUAUCAUUUCAUCUGAAAAUAUUUCAGUACAUUUAUCUAAACAAUAGGGAUCUUUUAAAACAUUACUGUAAUACCAUUAUCACUCUGUAAAAACUAACAGUAAUUUAGAAAUAUCAAAUAUUCAGUGUUCACAUUUUUCUAAUUCAGAAACAGGUAGGUGGGUAGGUAAAUAGCUAGAUAGCUAGAUAAUCAGUUUAUCUGAAUCAAGUCCUAAGUUCCAUUUUCAUUGUGACCGGUUAAUAAUACGACUUCAUUCUCUUUUAAUCAAUAGUGGGGAUCAGUAACAAUAGCCUAUGGACCAAAUACAGCUUAUAACUUGCUUUUAUAAAUAACGUUGUAUUGAAACAUUAGUUUGUAUGUUUUCUAUGGCUGCUUUCAGGAUACAAUUUCAGUGUUUAAUAGUUGUGUCCAAGAUUGUAUCACUUGCAAAGCUAAAAAUAUUCACUCUCUAUCCCUGGGCAGUAAAAAUUUGCUGACUCCUAAUUUGUGGCUCCUCCGACUCAUUUUCAUCUCAUUUGAAAAGCAAGGUUAUUCAGGAUAAGGAUCAUAUAUGCUUUGAGUACAAAGUCUGGCUGUAGAAGAAGUGUACCUCCUCCCCUGGCUUUUUAAAAACAAAAUAGCAGCCUACAAAAAGGAACUGUUUUGGAGGGAUGCAGAAGAGAAACAUAAGAAGGAGAGAGUUUGGCUCAGGCUGCACAAAGUAGAAGCAACUUGCAAAGGUUACCACCUCAGGUCCCUAACAUCUUUGCCCUCUUCUCAAAGAUGAUCAAAUCUUGGGGAUUAAUUCCCAACUCUCCAACUCAGCAUCUUGUCAACAUAAUACUUUGCAAGAAUAAUGAUGAGAUUUAACAUUUAAUUGGAAUUUAAGUGUAUUUCUAGUACUACUCUAAAUACUUUACAGGUAUUAAUUAAUGAAAUUCUUACACAUAUUGUUAUUAACUCCACUUUAUAGAGGUGGAAACUAAGUCAUAGAGAAGUUAAUGGAUGUCUCAGGCUGACAAAAAGAAAUCAUGCCAGCUUGCCACUGCAUUUCCUCUUCUAUUAGAAAGUCUAUGUGGGGAGCCAGUUAUUUUAAUCAGAAAGUUGCUAGGUGAACACAGAGCUAUAGCAAUACAAUUUAGGUAGGUUUUCUUGGUGGUGAAGUACAUCAAGAUAUAAUGAUAUAAUCUGUACUUCAUUCCAUCAGGAGACAUAAAUGUACCAACCAAAGGUCCAUGUUUGCUCAUCAAGGAACCUUUUGUCCUGGAUUAUGUUGAAGAUACACUGACAUCAUUUCCUUGCCACUUGAUUUCCCUUAUGAACCUAUGCCAACCAGUUUCUUCUUUUUCUCAGGUUGGUUAAAAUCAUGUGAUUAGGUUUCACCUUUCAUUUCUAAUCCUGCUUUUGUAAGCCUUUGCCCAAGCCACCUUACUUGAACUUGGGUGCUUGCAAAUCUGCUUAGCUUCAUGUUUUAGAAACUGUUUGGCACUUCUACAGAUGACUAAUCUCCUCUAGUCUGUGUUGCUUCUUGCUAAUUUCACUCUCAGUGGGUAAACCGAUUUCCAUAUUUUUGGAGGCACUUUACAUUACCUCUACCUACUCACUAAACUCUUGAGAGGAUCAACUCCGUCAGAUGGAUUUUUAAAGAGGACUUAUUUCAUUUCUGAGUCCCUAAUAGUGUACAUCAACAUAGUCAGAAUUGCGUCUUCAAAUCCUAAAAGUUCACUUUAAGCGGAAUUGCUUUCUCCUGAGUCUUACCAAUAUUGCACCCUCCACUAUUCUGCAAACUCUUGAUUGUCUGCAUUACUCAACAUCUAAGAAUAGCCUGUUUUUGCUUAAUUUCCCCUAAAGAUCCUGAGCAACCUUUGUCUUGCCUUCUUAACUGUAUUUCUGCUUUGCUACCUAAAAACUUUUAUUUCUUGAUUGGAGUAAAAAAACAAACACAGAUUCUUCUCUCAUCACCUCUGACCCAGCCCCACAGAGCAGAAAUGUGGAUGCUAUGAUACUUCCUAUAUAAAUUUUUAAGUGUCAUUCUCUCAUCAAGGAUAAGAGAUUCAUAAGUUUAUGUUCAAUUUUAUUUUUUAUUUUUCACUUUGACUACUGGGCUUUUGGUACUUUUGAGAACUGUUUUGUAGAGGGGGAGAAAGAUGAUCACAGCUUUUACUUAGGUCUAAAAAUGUUCUUACACAUUUGUAGUAUAGCUGUCCAUGUGAGAUGUGAUGAUAAACUUCUAUUUUUACAGUGCAACAGAAAUGACACAUUUUUUUUUUAACCAUAUAAGGCGGGUGGGGUCUGCCUCUUGUUAUGGGUGGGUUUGACCACCUACUUUCUCUGAAGGCACUACUGUGAAAGCAAAAUGUUCAUAUUCUUUGUGCAUCAGGUUGAGGAGUGAGGCUAUAAAGGCAAAGCAGGACGUGAAGCUCCAUGGAGGUUUCUACAUUGUGCUUUCUUCCAAUGAAGAGCUGGAUGAAAAUAAACUGUUGCCUGUUGCCCUAACGACUAGCAUUGCUUGUGACCUUUGUUGAAUAUCUCUGUGUUUUUUAGCAACAUUGCUGAGUAGGAGGAAGGCAUGGAUUGGGGAAGCAUAUUCUUGGAGACUAUUGUACACAGGCUAAAUAGCCAUCAUAAUGCAUAAGUGUGAAAAAACACAAAGCUGCCUAAUUGUAAGACUUGAAUUGAAAGAGAAAUCUGGUGGCAUCAACAGGGGCCUUUGGCUUUGGGGUUGUUGAAAGGGUUUUGUGUAGGAAGCACUGAUUGGUGUGAUUAUGGGUCCAGAAACCAAGCUGCCAGCUGUGGCUGUUGGAAGCACAGUGGUUCCGCCAUCUUACCUGGGCUCUCAGAGAGAAGACCAAAGGCUACUAGGGCCUGGGAAGUAGUACAUUCAGCUUCACAGAUGUUGAAACAGGAGGAAGAUAUCUAGAUCAAAAACCAAACAAAGACAAAAAAUAAUGGCUAUGACCCUUCCCGAGUGUAGCUUCUUCGAGUUCUGCUGCUUCACCUUGCCAAGUCCCCUAGCACUGAACGGGCAGAUGAACAGAUGUAGUAUCUCUCUAUGCACAUGGGCUUGACAUGGAGUGAGACAGUUAUCCUUGUAUUCUGUGUCCUGUCUCUCUGUCUCUGUCUGUCUCCCUCAUUCUCUCUUUUUCUCCAUUCAGGAGUACUUCUACCUCUGCCCGAGUGACAUACAAGACUGAGUUCUAAGCUACACCAGAGACUCCUGUGCCUAGAAGUAAUGGAAGUGAAUACACUAGGCAGCAUCCUCAUAUGGUUCUUCUCACCCAUGCAGUGGGCACUUGUGGUAUUUCUUGCAAAAUUAUGACAAGAUUAUUAUGAAAGAUGACCCCACUUAUAUUAUUCACUCUAAGCGUAAAUGCUUGAUUGUUUUAAGACAUGUUUUUUAAAAAAACCACAAUUACAAUAUGUACAUUAUUGGCCUAUUGUGGCUUGCAAACACCCACAGAGAUAUUUUCAUUUUCAUGAGUGGAUACACAACCAAAUGGGCACAUGCAGUUGUAAGAUAUUGUAGAAACAACCGUGUAAAAGGAACAGGACACAGGAAUUAAGUUUCACAUAGGAGGCACAGACUAGGUCACAUACUUAGCUUAUGCUAAGACUGAAUCUGUCUUUCCUCUGAGCAUAUUAGGGCCUGGAACUCUUGGUUAGCUAUCAGUCUUGGAGGCUAAAACUUUCUUAUGAUCCUGCCGUCACUGUUUGGAUUUCUUUUAAUAACCAUCAACUUUGGGAGUCCAUGGAUCCUGGUGAAGAAGGUCAGGGUCAACACCAUUCAACUCUGAUUGGACCUCUAGCCUGGGAACCUCCAUAUGCCACAGGUGCGGCCCUGGGGAAAAAAAAAAAAAAAAACACAGAAAAUGGCAGACUGACAAUACCCAAUACCCUCAAACCCAGAUCAAACCACCAUACCAUACCCAAAUUAUUUAAUUAGACUUUUAUGUGAAAGAAAUUUCUCUGUUGUAUAUAUCACUGUAUUUUUCAAUUUCUUUGUGAUAGCAACCUAACUUGUAGUCUAACUAAUAUAAUAUGCCUCUUCAGCUCUUUUUCUGAUAUCAGUUUUCAACUGAAAAAAUUUUUCAUUGCAAGAAACCAAAAUGGGCAUUUUUUUUGGCAUUUUCCCUAGUAAAAUUUGGCUUAGAAUAGUCUUAAAUUUCUAAAUUUAUAUUUGUCAGCAUAAUUACAACUAAAUGCUCAAUAAUGUGCAUAGAACUCAUACGAUUUCAUUUACACAAUGUCCCAAAACAGGCAAAACAAAUCUAGGAUGUUAGGGGCAUAAUAAAGGAAGCUAACUACUCAAUGACAGCUCAGUUUUUUAAAGAUCAUGGAAAGUAGGAAGUCAUACAGAGCUGAGAAAUCAGACAGAUGUAAAAUUAGAGGCUAGGGAACUGAGUUUAGAUAUCAUUUAAUCUGGUUGUUUAGGGCUAAGUGAUGAUGAAAACGCUUUAAGUAGUGAUACCCAGGAAGAAAUCUCCAAAGCCAUCUCUCCAUUGCAUACAAAUGUUUAUCUCCUUCACCCCAUUCUAGAGAAAAGUAACUCACUGGAUUUACUUAAAAGCAUUACCUCAAUUUAAUCUUUAUAGAAAUUACAUUCUCGAACACAUUCUAAAUAUUUUUGACCUUUCAAUGUUCCAUAUCAAUUGCACACACAAUAUUCUAUAGCAGUUGCACACAUAAAUGCUCACGUGUGUUUUUACACCGAUUAUUUCAAAGGAAAUAACUGGGGAUAGGAAUGAGGAUAUCUUGGAAUAAUUAUGUGCAUUUAGCUAACCAGUUUGAAUGACUGAAUGAUACUACAGAUGACAAAUCAUGGAUCAAGUGAAACAUAUCCUACGUAUCUCUUCCAUCUACUGCUGUUAUUAUGGGGGACGUUUUGUCCACUAAGAGAAAUAAACUGAGAAUGGAGUCCACCACAUGUAUCUACACCAUGUGUUUAUUGUUUAAAAUAUUUUAUAGGUGUUACCUUUGUGGCUCAGUGGUUAAUGAACCCGACUAGGAUCCAUGAGGAUGAGGAUUUGAUCCCUGACCUCCCUCAGUGGGUCAAGGAUCUCACGUUGGCUUGAGCUGUGGUGUAGGUCGCAGACACAGCUUGGAUCCUGCGUUGCUGUGGCUGUGGUGUAGGCCAGCAGCUGUAGCUCUGAUUAGACUCCUAGCCUGGGAACCUCCAUGAGGCAUAUGUGACCCUAAAAAGCAAAAACAAAACAAAAAGUUCAACAAGAAAAUAAAUUAACAACAUGAUUUUCAGGUCUGAGCACCACAGUCACAAAGCCUUUGGAAAGUUCUGUACCUACAUCAGAGGAGAAGAUGAACCUCAAGUUCCAUAUGUAAACUUUAAGUGAAUCUAACCAUUGUGUCUCAUAUCCUUGCCAUGUUUAAUCACUGACUAGAGUCCUUGUGUCAAGUCCUUAAGUCAUCUGCUCUCUCUCAUACUUGGAUUCCUAUUCUGAUGAUCUAAUUCUUCUCACCUAAUCUAUCUUCCUAUCACUCUCAACUUUUUCCUCUGUGUAUUCUGGAAUAUUUGACCAGUGGUAAUUUAACUCUCAAAUAGCCUUAACUUCUUCUCUCUACCACUUACCUUAAUUGAUUCCCUCCCAAGGAUACUGCUUCCCCAGGAAACUCUUCAAAAAAUGGAGAAUGAUUAUUUUGCCAACGGAUUCAUAUUAUCCCUGAUCACCAUUGGUUAUCCUCAACCAAUAUUCUCUGAGCUCAUAAAAAACAAACAAAACCAGGCAAAACAUACAUAUAUGUUUAAAUUGUCAUACCAUCUAUUUUCUUCCAUUCUUGGUCUCAUUCUUUCCAAAUAGUUUAGUUUGCAUUGCUCCACCCAAAUCGUGUUAUCAUCUUAUGUGAUUUCAGGUUCCAUGUGGCUGAUCAGCACAACAUUUUCAAUUCCUAAUGCUUUGGCUUCUUUGACUUUUACAGGUUUCAGCUCAAUUUUAUUUCAGUUCUCAAUACUCACAUUAUUAAUAGAUUCAACUCAGUUAUCUCUUAAAAUGUUCAUUUCUUACCUACUAAACCUGAAAAUCCCAUUUUAUAACAAGAACUACACUUAAAUUCUUCAAUUUUUUCUUCCCUUAUUCCAAUUAUAUAAUUUUUUUUAAAUCUCAUUUUACCCUGUUUCCUUAACUUGUCCAUUUCUUUCUAUGGCUUUCUUCUAUUUUAGAAAUGGAAUAAAGAAUAAAGAAUUUCAGGAGUUCGCAUUGUGGCUCAGCAGGUUACAAACCCGACUAGCAUCCAUGAGGAUAAGAGUUCCAUCCCUGGCCUCGCUCAGUGGGUUAAGGAUCUGGUGUUGCUGUGAGCUGUAUUUUAUGUCGCAUUUGAGGCUCAGAUCCCAUGCUGCUGUGGCUGAGAUGUAGACUGACAGCUGCAGCUCCAUUUAACCCCUAGCCUGGGAACU
rnacentral:lncRNA from 1 species